UCGAGGCAGAGACAUCAAGAUUAACCUCUAGUGUGACAGUAAAAUUAUUCUCCAAUUUCCCUGAGAAUGAAUAACCUCCUUGUUUUUAUUAUUGCUUCAACUAUCUUUACCAUCUGUGAAUCUCUACAAUGUUACUCCUGCAGCGGCUGCAAAGAACCUUUCGACUCAGCAGCGGCUAGCGUUCUCAACUGCACUAAAAUAAUUGGAACCGGAGGUGUUUGUGCAAAAGCACUUGCAAAAUUCCUUAGCGGGAAAGAAUUAUCCUUCCGCUAUUGUGGAAGAAUCCCCACUAUCUCCUCAACAGACGUCCAAACACCGUCAUUUAGGGUCGACAGCGAUGUCGUAUCUCUACAUGAAUUUUACUGUUUCAAGGAUUUCUGCAAUGACGCUCCAUCAUUCUACUCACCACUUUGGGUAUUGAUGGCGAGCGUCGGCUGUAUUUUUUUGUUCGGGCGUGGUGGACAUUAAUUACAUGAAAUUAUAAUAAUUAUAACAAAUAAGCAAACAAACAAACAAAACAACAAACAAAAUUAUUUUAUUAAUACAUAAUAUUGUAUGAAUAUAAAUUCAAACAAUUUGCUACCGA